AGAAUCAACGCUGGCGGCGUGCCUAACACAUGCAAGUCGCACGAGAAAGUGGAGCAAUCCAUGAGUAAAGUGGCGCACGGGUGAGUAACACGUGAAUUAUCUACCUCCGAGUGGGGAAUAACUGAGAGAAAUCUUAGCUAAUACCGCAUAACACUUACGAGUCAAAGCAGCAAUGCGCUUGGAGAGGAGUUCGCGGCCGAUUAGUUAGUUGGCGGGGUAAUGGCCCACCAAGACGAUGAUCGGUAUCC
rnacentral:rRNA from 1 species